AGGGCGCACGGUGGAUGCCUUGGCACUAGAAGCCGAUGAAGGACGUUACUAACGACGAUAUGCUUUGGGGAGCUGUAAGUAAGCUUUGAUCCAGAGAUUUCCGAAUGGGGAAACCCAGCAUGAGUUAUGUCAUGUUAUCGAUAUGUGAAUACAUAGCAUAUCAGAAGGCACACCCGGAGAACUGAAACAUCUUAGUACCCGGAGGAAGAGAAAGAAAAUUCGAUUCCCUUAGUAGCGGCGAGCGAAACGGGAAGAGCCCAAACCAACAAGCUUGCUUGUUGGGGUUGUAGGACACUCUAUACGGAGUUACAAAGGACGACAUUAGACGAAUCAUCUGGAAAGAUGAAUCAAAGAAGGUAAUAAUCCUGUAGUCGAAAAUGUUGUCUCUCUUGAGUGGAUCCUGAGUACGACGGAGCACGUGAAAUUCCGUCGGAAUCUGGGAGGACCAUCUCCUAAGGCUAAAUACUCUCUAGUGACCGAUAGUGAACCAGUACCGUGAGGGAAAGGUGAAAAGCACCCCGGAAGGGGAGUGAAAUAGAACCUGAAACCGUGUGCUUACAAGUAGUCAGAGCCUGUUAAUGGGUGAUGGCGUGCCUUUUGUAGAAUGAACCGGCGAGUUACGAUUUGAUGCAAGGUUAAGCAGUAAAUGUGGAGCCGUAGCGAAAGCGAGUCUGAAUAGGGCGUUUAGUAUUUGGUCGUAGACCCGAAACCAGGUGAUCUACCCUUGGUCAGGUUGAAGUUCAGGUAACACUGAAUGGAGGACCGAACCGACUUACGUUGAAAAGUGAGCGGAUGAACUGAGGGUAGCGGAGAAAUUCCAAUCGAACCUGGAGAUAGCUGGUUCUCUCCGAAAUAGCUUUAGGGCUAGCCUCAAGUGAUGAUUAUUGGAGGUAGAGCACUGUUUGGACGAGGGGCCCCUCUCGGGUUACCGAAUUCAGACAAACUCCGAAUGCCAAUUAAUUUAACUUGGGAGUCAGAACAUGGGUGAUAAGGUCCGUGUUCGAAAGGGAAACAGCCCAGACCACCAGCUAAGGUCCCAAAAUAUAUGUUAAGUGGAAAAGGAUGUGGCGUUGCCCAGACAACUAGGAUGUUGGCUUAGAAGCAGCCAUCAUUUAAAGAGUGCGUAAUAGCUCACUAGUCGAGUGACACUGCGCCGAAAAUGUACCGGGGCUAAACAUAUUACCGAAGCUGUGGAUUGUCCUUUGGACAAUGGUAGGAGAGCGUUCUAAGGGCGUUGAAGCAUGAUCGUAAGGACAUGUGGAGCGCUUAGAAGUGAGAAUGCCGGUGUGAGUAGCGAAAGACGGGUGAGAAUCCCGUCCACCGAUUGACUAAGGUUUCCAGAGGAAGGCUCGUCCGCUCUGGGUUAGUCGGGUCCUAAGCUGAGGCCGACAGGCGUAGGCGAUGGAUAACAGGUUGAUAUUCCUGUACCACCUAUAAUCGUUUUAAUCGAUGGGGGGACGCAGUAGGAUAGGCGAAGCGUGCGAUUGGAUUGCACGUCUAAGCAGUAAGGCUGAGUAUUAGGCAAAUCCGGUACUCGUUAAGGCUGAGCUGUGAUGGGGAGAAGACAUUGUGUCUUCGAGUCGUUGAUUUCACACUGCCGAGAAAAGCCUCUAGAUAGAAAAUAGGUGCCCGUACCGCAAACCGACACAGGUAGUCAAGAUGAGAAUUCUAAGGUGAGCGAGCGAACUCUCGUUAAGGAACUCGGCAAAAUGACCCCGUAACUUCGGGAGAAGGGGUGCUCUUUAGGGUUAACGCCCAGAAGAGCCGCAGUGAAUAGGCCCAAGCGACUGUUUAUCAAAAACACAGGUCUCUGCUAAACCGUAAGGUGAUGUAUAGGGGCUGACGCCUGCCCGGUGCUGGAAGGUUAAGAGGAGUGGUUAGCUUCUGCGAAGCUACGAAUCGAAGCCCCAGUAAACGGCGGCCGUAACUAUAACGGUCCUAAGGUAGCGAAAUUCCUUGUCGGGUAAGUUCCGACCCGCACGAAAGGCGUAACGAUUUGGGCACUGUCUCAACGAGAGACUCGGUGAAAUCAUAGUACCUGUGAAGAUGCAGGUUACCCGCGACAGGACGGAAAGACCCCGUGGAGCUUUACUGUAGCCUGAUAUUGAAAUUCGGCACAGCUUGUACAGGAUAGGUAGGAGCCUUUGAAACGUGAGCGCUAGCUUACGUGGAGGCGCUGGUGGGAUACUACCCUAGCUGUGUUGGCUUUCUAACCCGCACCACUUAUCGUGGUGGGAGACAGUGUCAGGCGGGCAGUUUGACUGGGGCGGUCGCCUCCUAAAAGGUAACGGAGGCGCUCAAAGGUUCCCUCAGAAUGGUUGGAAAUCAUUCAUAGAGUGUAAAGGCAUAAGGGAGCUUGACUGCGAGACCUACAAGUCGAGCAGGGUCGAAAGACGGACUUAGUGAUCCGGUGGUUCCGCAUGGAAGGGCCAUCGCUCAACGGAUAAAAGCUACCCCGGGGAUAACAGGCUUAUCUCCCCCAAGAGUUCACAUCGACGGGGAGGUUUGGCACCUCGAUGUCGGCUCAUCGCAUCCUGGGGCUGUAGUCGGUCCCAAGGGUUGGGCUGUUCGCCCAUUAAAGCGGUACGCGAGCUGGGUUCAGAACGUCGUGAGACAGUUCGGUCCCUAUCCGUCGUGGGCGUAGGAAAUUUGAGAGGAGCUGUCCUUAGUACGAGAGGACCGGGAUGGACAUACCUCUGGUGUACCAGUUGUCGUGCCAACGGCAUAGCUGGGUAGCUAUGUGUGGACGGGAUAAGUGCUGAAAGCAUCUAAGCAUGAAGCCCCCCUCAAGAUGAGAUUUCCCAACUUCGGUUAU
rnacentral:rRNA from 1 species